rnacentral:rRNA from 1 species
UACGUAGGGUGCGAGCGUUGUCCGGAAUUACUGGGCGUAAAGAGCUCGUAGGCGGUUUGUCGCGUCGUCCGUGAAAACUUGGGGCUCAACCCCAAGCUUGCGGGCGAUACGGGCAGACUUGAGUACUGCAGGGGAGACUGGAAUUCCUGGUGUAGCGGUGAAAUGCGCAGAUAUCAGGAGGAACACCGGUGGCGAAGGCGGGUCUCUGGGCAGUAACUGACGCUGAGACACGAAGGCCAGGGGAGCAAACGGG